GUCAGCGGACUGCUCGAGCUGC
rnacentral:snRNA from 1 species